rnacentral:rRNA from 1 species
GACGAACGCUGGCGGCGUGCUUAACACAUGCAAGUCGAACGGAAAGGCCCUGCUUUUGUGGGGUGCUCGAGUGGCGAACGGGUGAGUAAAACGUGAGUAACCUGCCCUUGACUUUCGGAUAACUUCUGGAAACUGGGGCUCAUACCCGAUAGGAGCUCCUGCUGCAUGUUGGGGGUUGGAAAGUGUCGGCGGUUGGGGAUGGUCUGGCGGCUUAUCAGCUUGAUGGUGGGGUAGUGGCUUACCAAGGCUUUGACGGGUAGCAGGCCUGAGAGGGUGACCGGCGACAUUGGGACUGAGGUGAGGCCCAGACUGCUACGGGAGGCAGCAGGGGGGAAGAUUGCAGAAUGGGCGGAAGCCUGGUGCAGAAACGCCGCGUGCGGGAUGACGGCCUUCGGGUGGUAAACCGCUUUCGCCUGUGACGAAGCGUGAGUGACGGUAAUGGGUAAAGAAGCACCGGCUAACUACGUG